rnacentral:rRNA from 1 species
UACGGGGGGAGCAAGCGUUGUUCGGAUUUACUGGGCGUAAAGGGCGCGUAGGCGGCGUGACAAGUCACUUGUGAAAUCUCCGGGCUUAACUCGGAACGGUCAAGUGAUACUGUCGGACUAGAGUACAGAAGGGGCAACUGGAAUUCUCGGUGUAGCGGUGAAAUGCGUAGAUAUCGAGAGGAACACCUGCGGCGAAGUCGGGUUGCUGGGCUGAUACUGACGCUGAGGCGCGAAAGCCAGGGGAGCGAACGGG